CGCGUAGGUAACCUGCCUGGUAGCGGGGGAUAACUAUUGGAAACGAUAGCUAAUACCGCAUAAGAGUGGAUGUUGCAUGACAUUUGCUUAAAAGGUGCACUUGCAUCACUACCAGAUGGACCUGCGUUGUAUUAGCUAGUUGGUGGGGUAACGGCUCACCAAGGCGACGAUACAUAGCCGACCUGAGAGGGUGAUCGGCCACACUGGGACUGAGACACGGCCCAG
rnacentral:rRNA from 1 species